ACGGAAGGCAGCAGUAGGGAAUAUUGCACAAUGGGGGGAACCCUGAUGCAGCAACGCCACGUGUGGGAAGAAGCAUUUCGGUGUGUAAACCACUGUCGUGAGGGAAUAAUGCUUGGCUCCGGCCAAGUUGAAUGUACCUCGAAAGGAAGCACCGGCAAACUUCGUGCCAGCAGCCGCGGUAAUACGAGGGGUGCAAGCGUUGUUCGGAAUCACUGGGCGUAAAGGGAGCGUAGGCGGAGACGCAAGCGGUCUGUACAAUACCGGGGCCCAACCCCGGACCUGCAGACCGGACUGCAUUUCUUGGAUAGUUCAGGGGCAAGCGGAAUUCCUGGUGUAGCGGUGGAAUGCGUAGAGAUCAGGAAGAACACCGAUGGCGAAGGCAGCUUGCUGGGGACUUAUCGACGCUCAUGCACGAAAGUGCGGGUAGCAAACAGGAUUAGAUACCCUGGUA
rnacentral:rRNA from 1 species